GCGGAAGUAGCUCAGUUGGUAGAGCAUAACCCUUCCAAGGUUAGGGUCGCGGGUUCGAACCUCGUCUUCCGCUCCA
rnacentral:tRNA from 1 species